UGAGGAAUAUUGGUCAAUGGGCGCAAGCCUGAACCAGCCAUGCCGCGUGCAGGACGACGGCCCUAUGGGUUGUAAACUGCUUUUGUACGGGAAGAAACACUCCUUCGUGAAGGAGCUUGACGGUACCGUAAGAAUAAGGAUCGGCUAACUCCGUGCCAGCAGCCGCGGUAAUACGGAGGAUCCAAGCGUUAUCCGGAAUCAUUGGGUUUAAAGGGUCCGUAGGCGGCCCUGUAAGUCAGUGGUGAAAUCUUUCGGCUCAACCGGAAAAUUGCCAUUGAUACUGCAGGGCUUGAAUUAUCGGGAAGUAACUAGAAUAUGUAGUGUAGCGGUGAAAUGCUUAGAGAUUACAUGGAAUACCGAUUGCGAAGGCAGGUUACUACCGGUGGAUUGACGCUGAUGGACGAAAGCGUGGGGAGCGAACA
rnacentral:rRNA from 1 species